rnacentral:rRNA from 1 species
GACGAACGCUGGCGGCGUGCUUAACACAUGCAAGUCGAACGGAAAGGCCCUGCUUUUGUGGGGUGCUCGAGUGGCGAACGGGUGAGUAACACGUGAGUAACCUGCCCUUGACUUUGGGAUAACUUCAGGAAACUGGGGCUAAUACCGGAUAGGAGCUCCUGCUGCAUGGUGGGGGUUGGAAAGUUUCGGCGGUUGGGGAUGGACUCGCGGCUUAUCAGCUUGUUGGUGGGGUAGUGGCUUACCAAGGCUUUGACGGGUAGCCGGCCUGAGAGGGUGACCGGCAACAUGGGGACUGAGACACGCCCGGGACUCCUACGGGGGGCAGAAGGGGGGAUUAUGCAAAAAGGGGGGGAGCCCUGAUGCAGCACCGCCGGGGGGGGGAGGACGCCUUUCGGUUUGAAACCCGUUUUCGCCGGUAAAGAAGGGUGAGGGAGGUAAAGGGAUAAAAAGCCCCCGGCAAAAUAGGUC